UACGAAGGGAGCUAGCGUUGCUCGGAAUCACUGGGCGUAAAGCGCACGUAGGCGGCUUUCUAAGUCAGGGGUGAAAUCCUGGAGCUCAACUCCAGAACUGCCCUUGAUACUGGAAAGCUUGAGUUCGGGAGAGGUGAGUGGAACUGCGAGUGUAGAGGUGAAAUUCGUAGAUAUUCGCAAGAACACCAGUGGCGAAGGCGGCUCACUGGCCCGAUACUGACGCUGAGGUGCGAAAGCGUGGGGAGCAAACAGG
rnacentral:rRNA from 1 species